UGGUAGUCCACGCCGUAAACGAUGUCUACUUGGAGGCUGUGGUCUUGAACCGUGGCUUCCGGAGCUAACGCGUUAAGUAGACCGCCUGGGGAGUACGGCCGCAAGGUUAAAACUCAAAUGAAUUGACGGGGGCCCGCACAAGCGGUGGAGCAUGUGGUUUAAUUCGAUGCAACGCGAAGAACCUUACCUACUCUUGACAUCCAGAGAACUUAGCAGAGAUGCUUUGGUGCCUUCGGGAACUCUGAGACAGGUGCUGCAUGGCUGUCGUCAGCUCGUGUUGUGAAAUGUUGGGUUAAGUCCCGCAACGAGCGCAACCCUUAUCCUUUGUUGCCAGCGAUUCGGUCGGGAACUCAAAGGAGACUGCCAGUGAUAAACUGGAGGAAGGUGGGGAUGACGUCAAGUCAUCAUGGCCCUUACGAGUAGGGCUACACACGUGCUACAAUGGCGCAUACAAAGAGAAGCGACCUCGCGAGAGCAAGCGGACCUCAUAAAGUGCGUCGUAGUCCGGAUUGGAGUCUGCAACUCGACUCCAUGAAGUCGGAAUCGCUAGUAAUCGUGGAUCAGAAUGCCACGGUGAAUACGUUCCCGGGCCUUGUACACACCGCCCGUCACACCAUGGGAGUGGGUUGCAAAAGAAGUAGGUAGCUUAACCUUCGGGAGGGCGCUUACCACUUUGUGAUUCAUGACUGGGGUGAAGUCGUAACAAGGUAACCAAU
rnacentral:rRNA from 1 species